UACGGAGGGUGCGAGCGUUGUCCGGAAUUAUUGGGCGUAAAGAGCUCGUAGGUGGUUUGUUACGUCUGCUGUGAAAACCUAGGGCUUAACCCUGGGCCUGCAGUGGAUACGGGCAGACUAGAGGUAGGUAGGGGAGAAUGGAAUUCCCGGUGUAGCGGUGAAAUGCGCAGAUAUCGGGAGGAACACCGGUGGCGAAGGCGGUUCUCUGGGCCUUACCUGACACUGAGGAGCGAAAGCGUGGGGAGCGAACAGG
rnacentral:rRNA from 1 species